rnacentral:rRNA from 1 species
GACGAACGCUGGCGGCGUGCUUAACACAUGCAAGUCGAACGGAAAGGCCCUGCUUUUGUGGGGUGCUCGAGUGGCGAACGGGUGAGUAACACGUGAGUAACCUGCCCUUGACUUUGGGAUAACUUCAGGAAACUGGGGCUAAUACCGGAUAGGAGCUCCUGCUGCAUGGUGGGGGUUGGAAAGUUUCGGCGGUUGGGGAUGGACUCGCGGCUUAUCAGCUGGUUGGUGGGGUAGUGGCUUACCAAGGCUUUGACGGGUAGCCGGCCUGAGAGGGUGACCGGCCACAUUGGGACUGAGAUACGGCCCAGACUCCUACGGGAGGCAGCAGUGGGGAAUAUUGCAGAAUGGGCGGAAGCCUGAUGCAGCAACGCCGCGUGCGGGAUGACGGCCUUCGGGUUGUAAACCGCUUUCGCCUGUGACGAAGCGUGAGUGACGGUAAUGGGUAAAGAAGCACCGGCUAACUACGUG